rnacentral:rRNA from 1 species
ACGUAGACACUAGCACAUCCUGUGCGUCGUGGUUAAGUUAAUAAGGGCACACGGUGGAUGCCUUGGCGUUAGGAGCCGAAGAAGGACGCAGCGAACUGCGAUAAGCCUCGGGGAGUGGUAAGCACACUUUGAUCCGGGGAUUUCCGAAUGGGGGAACCCACCAUCUGUAAUGGGAUGGUAUCCUUCACUGAAUACAUAGGUGAUGAGAAGGCAGACCCGGUGAACUGAAACAUCUAAGUAGCCGGAGGAAGAGAAAACAAUAGUGAUUCCGUCAGUAGUGGCGAGCGAACGCGGAAGAGCCUAAACCGUAGGAUUUAUCCUACGGGGUUGUGGGGCGUUUCAUAUAGGAGUUACAAAGGACAGAUGUAGGUGAACAGUUUGGGAAGACUGACCAAAGAGCGUGAUAGUCGCGUAACCCAAACAUCUGUCCCUCCGAGACCAACCCCGAGUAGCGCGGGACACGAGAAAUCCCGUGUGAAUCUGGCAGGACCAUCUGCUAAGGCUAAAUACUACCUAACGACCGAUAGUGAACCAGUACCGUGAGGGAAAGGUGAAAAGCACCCCGGGAGGGGAGUGAAAUAGUACCUGAAACCGUGUGCUUACAAAUAGUCGGAGCACUUUCUAUGUGUGACGGCGUGCCUUUUGUAGAAUGAACCGGCGAGUUACGAUAGCGUGCGAGGUUAAGUCGAAGAGACGGAGCCGCAGCGAAAGCGAGUCUGAAUAGGGCGAAAGUACGUUGUCGUAGACCCGAAACCGUGUGAUCUAGCCAUGUCCAGGGUGAAGGUAGGGUAACACCUACUGGAGGCCCGAACCCACGCACGUUGAAAAGUGCGGGGAUGAGGUGUGGCUAGCGGUGAAAUUCCAAUCGAACUCGGAGAUAGCUGGUUCUCCCCGAAAUAGCUUUAGGGCUAGCCUCGGAUUUAGAGUCUUGGAGGUAGAGCACUGAUUGGACUAGGGGCCCUCAUCGGGUUACCGAAUUCAGUCAAACUCCGAAUGCCAAGUACUUAUAUCCGGGAGUCAGACGGUGAGUGCUAAGAUCCAUCGUCAAAAGGGAAACAGCCCAGACCAUCAGCUAAGGCCCCCAAGUGUAUGUUAAGUGGGAAACGAUGUGGAGUUGCCCAGACAACCAGGAUGUUGGCUUAGAAGCAGCCACCAUUUAAAGAGUGCGUAAUAGCUCACUGGUCGAGUGACUCUGCGCGGAAAAUGUAACGGGGCUAAACAUACCGCCGAAGCUAUGGCAGUCCUUAUGGACUGGGUAGGGGAGCGUUCCAAGCAGCAGUGAAGCCGUAUCGUAAGGAGCGGUGGAGCGCUUGGAAGUGAGAAUGCCGGUGUAAGUAGCGAAAAGACAAGUGAGAAUCUUGUCCACCGAAAGCCUAAGGUUUCCUGGGGAAGGCUCGUCCUCCCAGGGUUAGUCGGGACCUAAGCUGAGGCCGAAAGGCGUAGGCGAUGGACAACUGGUUGAUAUUCCAGUACCACCUCUGUUCCGCUUGAGCAAUGGCGUGACGCAGGAGGAUAGGGUGAGCGGCCUAUUGGAUGGCCGUCUAAGCAGUAAGUGUGGUGUGUAGGCAAAUCCGCACACCAGUAAGCACAAGCUGUGAUGGCGAGGGAAAUUAUAGUACCGAAGUCCCUGAUUUCACACUGCCAAGAAAAGCGUCUAGCGAGGAACAAGGUGCCCGUACCGCAAACCGACACAGGUAGGCGAGGAGAGAAUCCUAAGGUGCGCGGGAUAACUCUUGCUAAGGAACUCGGCAAAAUGGCCCCGUAACUUCGGGAGAAGGGGCGCCUCGGUAGGGUUUAUAGCCCGAGGAGGCCGCAGUGAAAAGGCCCAAGCGACUGUUUAGCAAAAACACAGGUCUCUGCGAAGCCGCAAGGCGAAGUAUAGGGGCUGACGCCUGCCCGGUGCUGGAAGGUUAAGGGGAUGGGUUAGCGCAAGCGAAGCUUUGAACCGAAGCCCCAGUAAACGGCGGCCGUAACUAUAACGGUCCUAAGGUAGCGAAAUUCCUUGUCGGGUAAGUUCCGACCCGCACGAAAGG